AAAAAAAGACCCGGACCACUCUAUCGCCCCAGUUCCAACAUCCCUCGUGUCCACUUCACCCGCCGCCGCUGCCCUACGCAUCGCGGCAUCAAUGCCGGACUCCUCAUCCCUCGCCGCCGCCCAAGACUCGCCCCCACAACCCGAUGCCUGGCGCAUGCCCAUCAACGAUCAAGCGACACCCAUGGCCGCACGCAGCUGAGAUCCGAAGGGGCCACGCGCCGCCGCCUCCCACCACGAAGCCUUGUCGCCAUUGAUCAUCUCUAUGUCGUCAUCCAACCCGACCAUGCUGCUGUCCGCCACGACAAAGGCUGAGCCGGCACCCUAACCAACCCUUCCGCCGCCUGCAACCAUGAGCUUCGACGUGAUGGGCGGAUGCCGCAGGAGCUCGUGCCCGAGGCCCAUGCACCCAUUCCCUAGAUCAAGCGCGCCCAGGUCGCCAUACUCCUUGCUGACUCCGACCUCCGUUGGCACCGACAGCCUCAAGGGCCUCUACACAAUCCGGGAGAAGGUGGGAUAGGGCUUCCGCAACACAUGAUUUCCCGUGCAAGUACAUCGCCAAGAGGAAGAUGCUAGAUUUAAUCAAAGUAAGACCAACUGUGAUUUUUAGUUUACAAAUUUUUCCUCCUGUGGUAUUGUACAUGGUAGUUCUACUAGCACGUUGUUUCUGAUUGUGUGCAGACAUGAUGUGCAUAGUACGUUGUGCCACAAUGCUACUAAGGUACUCCCUCCGUUCCAUAAUUCUUGUCGAAAUAUUACAUGUAUCUAGACAUUUUUUAGGAAUAGAUGCAUCCAUUUUUGGGCAAAUUUGAGACAAGAAUUAUGGAACGGAGGGAGUAUUGUUCAACAGCUGCAAUUUCAAAAAAUUUAUACACAGAAACUCCCGCAUUGCUGUACUUUUUUGCUGUAAUUUUGUUCGUAGUUUACUUUCUUCACAGCAGGUUUUAUCACAUGUGCUCUAUACAAGUAACUACUAAACUCAUGUAGGUAAAAAAUGGGUGUAGCAGAUCUUCUGAGGUUCUUCAUACUCCCUCCAUUUCACAUAUGCGUUUUGAUCAAUGGGGCAUUCAUAUCAUAGUAAUGAAGGACUAUUAUUGUUCAAUAGCAUUGAUAUCAUCUGGUUUCAGUGUACAUUUUUUUAUUCAUUGUAUUUUUAACAUUUUACUUCAAAUAUAUGUUUCCUUUUUACAAACAUAUUUCAGAUCCUCGUGUCCAGGUUGCUUCAUAGAAAAGGCUUAUCUAUAUUCCAUACAUUCUUGAAAUUAAUUUCUAAGCAUAUGAACAAGCUGCAGCUUGAUAAGGUAAGAAUUUUACCAGUGUGUGCUAUUUCAUCCUGCAAUUUUUAGUUAACAUGGCAAGCCUGCUUUGCAGGUAGAUAAGUUUAUUUACUCUUCAUGCUUAGAAUCAUAGUGCUAAUUCAAAAGGGAAAACUUUGGCCCACUGGAUAAAUUCUGCUUUAUAUAUGACCAAAGGGUGCACAGCGUCGUGAAAGAUGGGAUCCCAUUGAUGCAGGGGCUUUGUUAAUGUAGUCCUCAUCCCUGUAAUCUAGCAUCUCCCUCUGAAAUAUUACGGUUUAAUAUCUAUCCUUCUCUUAUUGCGCUUAUGUUUUCAUGUGAAUUAUUAUCUACAGUAUAUUCACUAGAGAUAUACUCAUGUUUGAUCUGCUGCUGAUGUGCUAUGACUAUGACAUUAGACAGACAAACAUUCUUAAACCUUGUUCAGUUUCUCAGAAAGUGUCUGUUGAGAUAAUUGAUUAUUCAUCAGAAAAGAAAACAUAAUGCAAAUAUUUCCCUGUAAGACACCUAAAUUCUAACCAGCGACUGAAUGAAUCCUCUAUUCUUCUUAGUUCGCUUGGAAUUGUUCAGUUAAGUCUCGCGAUGCUACUCUCUGUUGUACUCCCUCCGAUCCAUAAAAAGUGUCGCCCACUUAGUACAAAAUUUGUGCUAACUUAGUACAAAAUGGGCGACACUUUUAUGGAUUGGAGGGAGUAAGAUCUAUGAAGUUAAUCACAUUACUUGGAAUACAUUCGGACAUUCGGUAUCACACAGUUGUUGCCAUCUUUGUGCUAUUAUGCAAAGUUUGAACCUAUGUUCAUUUAAUUAAAGAAAACAGGAAGGAGCCUUCUCGAGGCUAUGGCUCCUUGCAACUCUGCUUCAGCCUUCGUGAUAUCCUACUUUGGGCCUGGUCUCCUCAGCUCUGCUCCACCAACAGAUCCUUGCUGAUUUGGGAAUUUAAGGUGACGUGAAUUUGGGUAUUUCCUGUUUUUUGGGAAGUAAUAUGUUCUCGCAUCUGUCAGUUGGAGCUUGCCAUUUUUACUUGUGAGCUCGGUCUAUUUGCAUUGUAUUUUACUACUAUAUAUCUUGAAUUUUCUGUAAUAUGCAUGGCACAACAGACAAUGCAUCAGAAUUGUAACUAAUAUAAAUGUACUAGAAACGUUUUUCUGUCUCCUGGAAUGUUGUCUAAUAUAUAGGACAGUUUAGUGAGUUAAUCUCAUUUUUCAUUACUCUGUGUAUUUGGCAUAGCUCCUAUCAAUUUAUUGGAAAAACAGAUGGGCAGUGCACCGCACGCCGUCAUGAUCUAGUUUAUAUAUAAUCUUAGUGAAGCUAUUGACAAUUACAAGAGUUGAUGGGUAUCAUCAAUGCAUCGAGGUCCUUUUGUGUCCCAUGUCCAGCAAACCAUUAAAAGAAUGGUAUGACAAGAAGGCAAUUCAAGAAUAUUUCAGCUGAUUAGCGGUAACCAAUCACACUUUAGUUAUUGAUUCAAGAAGAUUUUUGUUGUUCUUAGCAGUUGCUUCUUUUUGUUGAGAUAUAUUGCCAUGAUAAGCUGCAGAUCUUUUAGUUAUUAUAUAAUGCCAUUCGAAGCAUAUGCUAGGUUGCCAAGAUGUAUUUGUUUGUUUUGUUUUAUGAUGAUGCAGCAAAUGGAGGAAGCAAUAAUUGAAGUGUGCUUGAAUAGGCCUCUCCUAUAGUUGGUAAGACAAAUUAAGCAUCCGCUUUGCUCCUGCCCUCUUAUUUUAGGUGCCAGCAGCAGGACGAAGCUCUUGGAUGGCUCCUAAUGGCAAUAAUAGACAUUCAGAAGGACACGGUCCAUAGUCAUGAGUUAUGAGAUCAAGAUGGUCUGAAGUCUGAACAAAGAAACAUCUAUUUUCAUAGUUAUUUUCAGAAGAAUGAGGCAGAAAGAAAACACACCAGAGGAAGAAUUGCUUGCAAAUAUACGGCUCCUAGAGAUUGAAAACGUGAAGCUUGCGUCUCGAUGCAUUGAUAGAAAGAAAGUAAUUACAAGCCAAAGAUAGGCCGAAACAACCGACCGCUCAAGACAAGAGCACGACCAACAGCCGCAAACAAACAUUACAACCGGCGCCAGCAAUAAACCUCGGCCUAGAUGCCAACCCCACAUGUGUACUGGAUGCGACAAUCCUACCAAACCCCCCGCCACAAGAAGGGAGAAGUCAACUCUGCAAAGGACAUAAUUGGUUCACGCUCGAAGGAAAUGUGCAUAUCCCCAUUGUUAUCCAUGUGGACGACGAAGUUGUGAAUGCCCCGGUAAAGCACGUGAAAAAACAUAAGUGGGAUUGGCGUAAUGAAGAUCCGUGAUCACGAAAAAAAGUGUUUACGCUCCAAAAUACAACUGUCGGAAAUACAAGUCUACUUAUCAUAGUGUUGGAGAGAGAGGAAGCAAGAUUGAUUUUUCGUCAUCUAUAACCAAUUUGCAGGACUGGUAAGAGGCAGCGCAAAUUGUGAAGGGAGGUAUAAUCAUGUGUCUCGGAAUGUUCCGCUUGGUUGGAAGGAAGAUACAAAUGAGUCUAAAAUGUAGGUAUUCUACGUUUCAUAUGUAGCACGUUGUUGCAAGUUUUUGACUAUAAUUUAGUCCUUCCUGAUUUUUAUAAUUUGUUAGAGUGAAAAUAAAUAUGGUGUAUCUUGUUUACUCUAAUGAUCGUGAUGCCGACCUGGUUGCGGUUGCCUGCACCGAUUUAAGAAGAAUUGAGCUAGAGCGUUGGAUAUGCAAUAGUAUAUUUGCUAUCUACGCUUCGUAAGUAUUGCUUCGUUUAGUUAAGAAUAUUCUUGUCCCUUUUUUGUAGCAGCUUUAACAAAACUAUUUGCGUGCAUAUAACUGGAAAAUGUCAGCCUUCACUACUAAAAACCAGUGAAAUAAGUUUCUAGUAUCAUAUUGCCGACGUCUUUGCGUUUCCCAUGCUUGAGCGGAAACAUAAGGGAAAAAAACAUCCACAUCAACUGUAACUUUCUACUUACCAUACUUGUUGAAAAUUCCACAUUGUUACUUGCGACUUCUUUCUAGAUCCGUUGAACUAUUUUUCUUACAGUGAUGUUGGGAUUGCUGGAACGGAUCGAAGACUUAUUAUAUAUAUUCUGUGUGUAAAUGAUAUUGAGUAAGCAAUGUUGUCUUCUCUUUCGUUAAAAUACAUUAAUUUAUAAUUAUCCAUGGUAUCAUGUCACAUUAUGUAGUGACAAUACCUCAGCUACGGCCCACGGGAGCCUGGCAAUUAUUUGUUUCCCUAAACACGGAUCAAAUAACAAUCCAAUAAUUCUGCAUAUAUAUGGAUUCAGUGAAGCUUUUUCAUGAUAGAUAUUGGGUUCAUAGUCCUCAACAGGUUAGUUGUCUGAGAAGUCAAAUUCUGCGAGCAAAUUGUGAUAUUUGCAUAUGCAUUUUGUUAUAUUUUUAGAACUUUCUAUGUUGUCGACAGUUACGUGAGACGUGUGAUGGGUGAGAGCAAGUGAGAUAAACACGCAGACACUCGGCUACAAUCGUUAUGUACAUCGCCUCGAUGCAGACGUGGGAGAGCUCCCCUUUUUGAAAAAGAAAAACUAUUGCUGGCAUGUUUCUCAGCAGCCUAAUGGGUACAACUGUGGCGCCUUUGCUAUGUACAAUACGUGCAGAUUCAUUAGGAGGCCCCCGUUAGUUUUUCAGGAGGAAGACUGUUCUAAGGAAGGGGCGAAAAAGGCCCAGAAACUUCAAUUAAUUAGGCUGAGCACCUCACUCAACAUUAAGAAGGACUUUACAAUGAGAAGAAUGUUAGCAGCAGGGAUCAACUUGGGCACUAAAGAAAAUAAUUAGAGGACUGAAAGGCAAAAGGGGAGUCACUCCAUGGCCAUGUGCCGGUGGCUUUUCCAGAAGGACAAAAAAAAAGGUGGGGCUCUGCUUCUUUUGGUGGAGGGGAGACAGAUCGAGAAGAGGGAAGACAGAUCGAGAAGAGGGGAGGAGAUCAGAAAAGAGAAGAAGGGAGGAGAAUGGAGGUCGCGGCUGGAGAUCCGCCUCACCGCUAGGCUGCUCGUCCACAUCGUCAUCAAGCUCGAGUAUUUGUUCUGCAUCUUCCCGAUCCGGCUUCCUCUGCUUCUCCUGCUUCGCCGCUUCAACAACUUGGCGAAAAAUCUCUGAACCCUCUUCUACAGCAGCUCUUUGGUGACGAAGUCCAACCACUCUUUCCCUUCCCUUGCUCUUUUGCUGAUCUUGUUGUACUUGCAUUUGGAAAGAUAAAUCGUGUGAAACUUGCUGCUGUUCGUGUUGCUUCUUGUAAGACAGAAACCUGCAAGAAUUUGAUAACCUGUGUUUUGUUAGCCCUCUUGCUUCCUCAGUUCUUUAGUUUCAGUAAUUAGUGAGUCAUAUCUUUACUGCUUGUUAUUAUUUCAGAAAAAUACCAAAAACAUUAGACAAGUUUAUUUUUCUGUUCGUGGUUCAUAUAGUUUCUUUGUGCUGUCCGUAAUUUAGAUUCAGAGUAAACCUGUUACUUGAGUUCACUAAAGUGCAGUCCAGAGCUCUUUUGUCACUACUUUUAAACACCAGUUUGUGUGAGUCUAGCUUUGGGAGUUUGCUUAAUAUUUGUAUUCAAUCCCUGUGGAGAGAACGACAUAUCACUGUAAAUUUUGCAUCGAUCAAAUUGGCGCCGUUGCCGGGGAUUGAUUAUGAAUGUUACCAACAGUACCAUAGACUAGUCCUUUUUCUUGUUUUGAGAAUAAUUCAUUUGUUAAUUUUCUGUUGCCUAGGCUGAUUGGGAUACUAACCAUCUAAUUAGUUCUUGGUUGUGAGCGUGUGUAGGAGAAUUUCCUUUCUUUUCUUUGCAGGACAUUGAUGUAUGCUUGUAAGCAAAGAUUCUGAACUCUUGCCCCUUGACCCUGAGAUAGAAAGGACUCUUAAGACGUUAAGAAGAGAAGCCAGAUUAGCACAGGAAAAAGUUAUGGGUGAUAAAUUGCUUAGAGACCUCUGGAUUCCAAGCCAUCAAAAUGUUUCGGAUAAUGUUAUUCAGCCAACCAUUCAGGCUAAUAACUUUGAGCUUAAACCUGCUCUUAUUAACAUGGUACAACAAAAUAGGUUUGGUGGCUCUGCAGUCGAGGAUCCACAUGAACAUAUCACCACCUUUUUGGAAUAUUGCAAUACUCUCAAAUGCAAUGGGGUUACUGCAGAUACUAUAAGGCUUCAGUUGUUUCCGUUCUCUCUACGUGAUUCUGCCAGAAUCUGGUUACAUGCUUUACCUUCUCAGUCAAAGGAUACUUGGGAACAUCUUUUACAAGCCUUCUUUGAGAGAUAUUUCCCUCCGACAAGAGCUGCAGAGUAUAGAGAUCAGAUAACAAGGUUUGCACAGUUCACUGGUGAGAGUCUUUAUGAUGCAUGGAAUAGAUACCAGAAUCUGAUAAGAAUGUGCCCUCAUCAUGGUCUUGAGAGAUGGCUGAUUUUGCAAACUUUCUAUAAAGGCCUUACUCAUCAGACAAGAGCCUUUGUGGACUCUGCAUCAGGAGGUGGUAUUAUGAAUAAGACUCUCGAAGAAGCUUUCACACUAAUUGAAAAUAUGGCAUCACACCAUUUCCAGUGGUCAAGUGAGAGGGUGGUGUCACCUCAGAAACCUGGAAUGUAUCAAUUGAAUUCACAAGAUGCUUUAGCAGCUCAAGUGGAGAUUUUAAACAAGACGAUUGCUCAAUUGCAGGUUAACAUGAGUCACGGGAAUACUUCUUCAGUUUCAUCAGUACAAUCAUCUCCGGUGUGUACAAUAUGUGGAGUUCAUGGACACCUUCAAGGGGAAUGUUUAGUAUACACAAAAUCUGAAGCAUCAGUAUCAGAGGUGAACUAUGCUCAGAAUCAAGGACCAUUUUCUCAAAAUUACAAUCCUCAGUGGAGACAUCAUCCCAAUCUGUCAUACAAGAGUAAUUUGCCAAGUCAAUCUUCAUUUUCUUCAAGUGUAUCACAUCCUGGUUUUAGCCAGUAGCAGCCCCAGUAUAGUGGACAGAGACAACAAGGUACCUCGCCUACGACACUUGAGGAAGCAUGGAAAGUACAAGAGGACAAAAUGAAAAGGCAGGUGGACAAACUUAGCAAAUUAACUGAAGAUGUGGGCAGCUUGAAGGACCUCUUACAGCACCUUGUGCUUGCUCAAGCUACGACUAGUUCUGAAGCAAAGCUUCCAUCCCAAGCAGAGCAGAACCCGAAAGGGCAGUGUGGAGCUAUAAUGUCCAGCGAAGCGAUAACAACCAGGACCGGUAAAGUUAUUGCACCUCUCUUGCCAACUCCUCCCACACAGCAUUAUGUUCCUCCAGCUUUGAGAAAUGUCAUUCGGAACAAUGUUCAGCAUGCAGAUCAAGCCAAGCAAAAGCCAGUUGAAGUUGAGAAAAAUCAAAGUGAAUCAGAAAUUUCUAGUCCAGUGCAGAAUGAUUCAGCAUCAGAGACAAGUUCAAAGGCAAAAAUACCAUUUCCAGAGAGGGUAGAAAAGAAUAAAGAAGAUAGGCAGUAUGCAAAGUUUCUUGAGAAAAUGAAGGAGGUGCAAGUGACAAUUCCAAUAUUAGAUGCAGUUCUGCAUGUACCUAUGUAUGCAAGAUUCUUCAAAGAACUAAUUUCAAAGAAAAGAAGCCUCGAUGAACCAGAUGUUGUUGUCCUAACAAAGGAAUGUAGUGCUAUCAUUCUAAACAAGAUGCCACCAAAAUUGGAGGAUCCAGGAAGUUUUUGUGUGCCAUGUCAAGUUGGAAGUCAAACUUUCAGAGCUUUAUGUGAUCUUGGAUCAAGUGUGAGUGUGCUCCCUUUAUCCGUGUGCAAAGAAAUGGAUCUUGGAGAGCUGAGAACAACAAAGAUGACAUUGCAAUUAGCAGAUCGAACUUACAGGAAGCCUGCCGGUGUUUUGUUUGAUGUGCCUGUGAUAGUUGGUAAGUUUGCCUACCCUGCAGAUUUUGUUGUUUUGGAGAUGGAUGACAAUAGUAAAUCAGUGAUACUUGGCAGACCUUUUCUAGCUACAGCGGGUGCUAUAAUCGAUGUUAAAGGGGCAUCUCUGAAGCUAAGAUUUGGAGAGGAGGAGAUUACUUUUGACAUGAAGAAUCCUACUCAUCUACCAAUUUGUAAUGAUGAAUGCUUUUCAAUGGAUCUUGUGGAUCAAUGUGUAAAAGAGGUUUAUGGGAAGAAUGAGAAUGAGCCUGCUUGGGAAGCAAAGGAAAUUAGAACACCAACUUGCAUUGUUGCACAAAUUGAAAGUGAAGAAGAGAUUUCAAAAUGUGAAUCAAGCUUGGUUCCAAAUUCAGUGGUAGAACUGAAGGCUCUUCCCUCACACCUCACUUAUGAAUUCUUAGAAGAAGAAAAGAAACAUCCAGUAAUUGUCAGUGCUUCUCUGGAAAAAGAUCAAACUAUAGCACUACUGAAUGUAUUGAGAAGAUUUAGAAAAGUCAUCGGCUAUUCCAUUGAUGAUCUGAUAGGUAUUAGUCCCUCUGUCUGCAGUCAUAGAAUAUAUCUUGAGGAUAACAGUAAGCCUACAAGGCAACCUCAAAGGAGAUUAAAUCCAAAUUUGCAAGAAGUUGUGAAGAAAGAAGUCUUGAAAUUGCUCUCUGCUGGAAUUAUAUAUCCUAUAUCAGACAGUAAAUGGGUUAGUCCUAUUCAUGUUGUUCCUAAGAAAGGAGGAAUGACAGUUAUGGAAAAUGAGCAGGGGCAAUUGAUUCCAACAAGGACAGUGACUGGGUACCGAAUGUGCACUGACUAUAGAGGUCUCAACUUGUCAACAAGGAAAGAUCACUUUCCUCUUCCUUUUAUUGAUCAGAUGCUAGAGAGAUUAGCAGGGAAGAAGUAUUUUUGCUAUCUUGACGGUUACUCUGGAUUCCUGCAAGUUCCUGUUCAUCCUGAUGACCAGGAUAAGACAACAUUUACUUGCCCUUAUGGAACGUUUGCUUAUCGAAGAGUUCCAUUUGGACUUUGUAAUGCUCCAGCCACCUUCCAAAGGUGUAUGAUGUCAAUCUUUUCAGACCUAAUAGAAAAUACCAUGGAGGUCUUUAUGGACGACUUCACUGUUUAUGGGAAGAGCUUUGAAGAUUGUCUGAAAAACUUGGCCGUUGUUUUGCAGAGAUGUCUUGAACAUAGUUUGGUUCUUAACUGGGAAAAAUGCCAUUUUCUUGCAACAGAAGGAAUAGUAUUGGGACAUCUUGUUUCUGAAAGAGGAAUGGAAGUUGACAGAGCAAAGGUAGAAGUAGUCACCAAGUUGCCUCCUCUAGUUAAUGUAAAAGGAGUCAGGAGCUUUCUUGGACAUGCUGGAUUCUAUAGGCGCUUCAUAAAAGACUUCUCGAGAAUAGCUAAGCCACUGACUCAUCUUUUAGGAAAUGAUAUCCCUUUCAUAUUUAAUAAGGAUUGCAUGGAAUCAUUUUGCAAGUUAAAAGAGGCACUCACUACAGCUCCCAUAGUUCAACCGCCAGAUUGGAAGCUUCCAUUCGAGUUAAUGUGUGAUGCCAGCGAUUUUGCACUUGGGGCUGUUUUGGGGCAAAGAAAGGAGAAGGCACUACAUGUAAUUCAUUAUGCAAGCAGAACCUUGGAUGAUGCCCAAGUAAACUACACUACAACUGAGAAAGAAUUGCUAGCGGUGGUAUUUGCAUUUGAUAAGUUCAGACCUUAUUUGGUUGGAAACAAGUGCAUUGUUUAUACUGAUCAUGCCGCCAUUAAGUUUCUGUUGAAUAAAAAGGAUUCUAAGCCAAGAUUGAUCAGAUGGGUCUUGCUACUCCAAGAAUUCGAUGUUGAGAUACGAGAUAAGAAAGGGGCAGAAAACAUGGUUGCAGAUCAUCUUUCUAGGAUAUCUAACCAGGAAAUCGACGCAGUCAGUAUCAAUGAUAAUCUUCCAGGGGAACAACUGAUGCAUGUCUCCAAUUUCCAUUCAAAAACCCCUUGGUAUGCUGACAUUGUAAAUUACUUGGUAUGCAAAAUUAUCCCAAGUGAGCUUACCUACCAACAAAAAAAGAAAUUCUUGCACAAUGUGAAAUAUUAUUAUUGGGAUGAACCCUUCCUAUAUAGAAGUUGCUCUGAUGGAAUAAUCAGGCGUUGCAUCCCACAAGAAGAAGCCUAUAGUGUCAUGUACCAUUGCCAUGCUUCCACAUAUGGUGGCCAUGCAAGUGCCAUGAAGACACAAGCAAAGAUUUUCCAAGCUGGUUUUUAUUGGCCGAGCCUAUUUAAGGAUGUGCACAAAUUCAUUCAGGCUUGUGAUCCGUGUCAGAGAAGUGGGAAAAUCUCCAGAAGAAACGAAAUGCCACAGAAAGGAAUUUUAGAAGUAGAACUGUUCGAUGUUUGGGGAGUAGAUUACAUGGGGCCAUUUCCAGCAUCUAAUGGGUACAAGCAUAUUCUAGUGGCAGUAGAUUAUGUAUCCAAAUGGGUAGAAGCUAUCCCAACAGUACAUGCUGAUUCCAAGUCAGUGUGUAAACUUCUGAAACAGGCUAUAUUUCCACGAUUUGGAGUGCCUAGAAUUGUGAUAAGUGAUGGGGGAAAACAUUUCAAUAAUGAUCAGCUUCAAGCCUUGCUGGCCAAAUAUGGUGUUCAUAGUCACAAGGUCACUACACCUUACCAUCCACAAGCCAACGGACAAGUAGAAGUAUCAAACAGGGAGAUAAAGCAAAUUUUGGAGAAAGUUGUUUCGAAGUCAAGAAAGGAUUGGGCAACUAAGUUACCUGAUACCCUAUGGGCCUAUAGAACAGCAUACAAGACCCCUAUUGGGAUGUCUCCUUUUCGGCUAGUUUAUGGAAAGGCAUGCCAUCUUCCUAUAGAACUAGAACAUAAAGCUCACUGGGCAACAAGAACAUUAAACAUGGAUAUUGACUUGGCUGGGAAGAAAAGAAAGCUCCAAUUAUGUGAACUAGAGGAACUCAGAAUGGAUUCUUAUGAUAGCGCUAGAAUCUACAAAGAGAAGACCAAGAAGUGGCACAACAGACAUAUAUUGAGGAAGGAGUUCAAACUAGGUGAUAUGGUGCUGAUCUACGACUCCCGAUUUCAUCUAUUUCCAGGGAAAUUCAAGUCAAGAUGGUUUGGUCCCUGCUCUGUCACAAAGGUACUUGCAAAUGGAGCUUUUGAGGUCAAGAGUCCAUCAGGAGGCAUUUUCUCAGUAAAUGGGCAGAGAAUGAAACAUUAUGUUAUGGGAGAACCAAUUUAUGAUGAAGAUUCAAAAUCGGAGGAGGAUGGAGUUGAUGCAACUCCACUUGCAUCACAACAUUGACUUUACAAGGAGGGUCGAGCUAAUGACCAUAAACAAGCGCUACCAGGAGGCAACCUGGAUAAAUAAAUUCAGUUAAUUUUCUUUAUUGAGUUUUUUUUUAUGUUUUCUUUUCUUUCUUUGCCUUCAUAGGAAUUAAUAAAUCAUAGCAGGCAGUAAGAGUUCAAGAUGAAGGAGAGCUGGCUUAUGAUAAUGCAGAAGAGUGAAGAGUUUACUGAAAGUUUCUACUUACCGAAUCAGCAAAAGAAGUACGAGCUGAUAUGAUACAUGUUCAUAUGACUUCACUUUGGAGUUAAAAACGAGGAGCUAAGUGAGCUACACCACACCCGGUGAGCUGUUUCAGUACUCAAUUCUACUUCUACAUUUUUCAGUUGCGGUGUUGGCUAUUUCUUUUUGGUUACAUCCUGCUGAUUUUGAUUGAAAUUGCCUCUGUCCAUUAUUUUCCUGGUUCAUUGUCAGUUAGUGCCGCAUAAAUAUUCUGCAUUAAUACUUAAGAUCAUAUCUUAGCAUGGUCGUAACUGAAAGAAGCUGCCUGUCAUUUUGACAGUAAUGUGAGAUAUAACAAAGAAGCUUGUCAUUUUCUCUUGGAUAUCACUGUGCCAUGAACUAUAUUCAUUUGGGUGAAAGAAUGUGUUGAUUAGUUCUUUUCUGAGCCAAGUAACAAGUUCCAUUACAUACUGUAUCAUGGUCUCGGGAUCGGUGGUACAUGAAAGAGGUGGACCUAGUUAUUGAUGUCCAGUUGUUAACAAAAAUCUUGCAGUUCCGUCAAAUAAGUGGCUAGGCGACAUUCGUUUUCUUGCCUCUCAAUAAGUGGUUGUGCCACAUUUUGCUUUGCUUCCUUCUAAUAAGUGACAGUGUCACAGUUCUGAAUAAGUGGCUGUGCCACAUUUUGCAUCUUAUAAGUUCUGAAUAAGUGGCUUUGCCACAGUUUUGCUUUCGCAUUUUCCUUUAUGCAAUUUAAAACAAAAUCUGGACAUCAUGGCUCAGGAAAGAACUGUUAACAUAGUUUCACUUAGAUAUUAUUGUUCAUGUUUUCAUCAGUGUGUGACGGAAAGAAUGACAUGAUUCUUUAUUAUAUCUCAGAUUAGUGUCAUCUUGACAGGCAUCGGAAAUACAGUCAUGAUCUUGAACAGAUGUUACCUUAAGUAAUAUUGUUGAGUAUUAAUUGUGUGCAGCUUGUCAGUGCUUGUCAUGUUCUCUAUUAUUGCUGUUUUUCUUUGCUUGAGACAAGCAAAAGUUUAAGUGUGGGGGUGUAUCAAUUUGAUCGAUGCAAAAUUUACAGUGAUAUGUCGUUCUCUCCACAGGGAUUGAGUUACAAAUAUUAAGCAAACUCCCAAAGCUAGACUCACACAAACUGGUGUUUAAAAGUAGUGACAAAAGAGCUCUGGACUGCACUUUAGUGAACUCAAGUAACAGGUUUACUCUGAAUCUAAAUUACGGACAGCACAAAGAAACUAUAUGAACCACGAACAGAAAAAUAAACUUGUCUAAUGUUUUUGGUAUUUUUCUGAAAUAAUAACAAGCAGUAAAGAUAUGACUCACUAAUUACUGAAACUAAAGAACUGAGGAAGCAAGAGGGCUAACAAAACACAGGUUAUCAAAUUCUUGCAGGUUUCUGUCUUACAAGAAGCAACACGAACAGCAGCAAGUUUCACACGAUUUAUCUUUCCAAAUGCAAGUACAACAAGAUCAGCAAAAGAGCAAGGGAAGGGAAAGAGUGGUUGGACUUCGUCACCAAAGAGUUGCUGUAGAAGAGGGUUCAGAGAUUUUUCGCCAAGUUGUUGAAGCGGCGAAGCAGGAGAAGCAGAGGAAGCCGGAUCGGGAAGAUGCAGAACAAAUACUCGAGCUUGAUGACGAUGUGGACGAGCAGCCUAGCGGUGAGGCGGAUCUCCAGCCGCGACCUCCAUUCUCCUCCCUUCUUCUCUUUUCUGAUCUCCUCCCCUCUUCUCGAUCUGUCUUCCCUCUUCUCGAUCUGUCUCCCCUCCACCAAAAGAAGCAGAGCCCCACCUUUUUUUUUGUCCUUCUGGAAAAGCCACCGGCACAUGGCCAUGGAGUGACUCCCCUUUUGCCUUUCAGUCCUCUAAUUAUUUUCUUUAGUGCCCAAGUUGAUCCCUGCUGCUAACAUUCUUCUCCUUGUAAAGUCCUUCUUAAUGUUGAGUGAGGUGCUCAGCCUAAUUAAUUGAAGUUUCUGGGCCUUUUUCGCCCCUUCCUGCAUAUAAAGAAUUGAAGAUUGUAAUUGCCUCUUUGGAGUGGAAUCUGUUACUUUAACAUA